GCAGGUGUAACACAAUGGCAGUGUACUUGCUUCCCAAGCAAGCCAUGCGGGUUCGAUUCCCGUCACCUGCU
rnacentral:tRNA from 1 species